UGGGGAAUUUUGGACAAUGGGGGAAACCCUGAUCCAGCCAUCCCGCGUGUGCGAUGAAGGCCUUCGGGUUGUAAAGCACUUUUGGCAGGAAAGAAACGUCAUGGGUUAAUACCCCGUGAAACUGACGGUACCUGCAGAAUAAGCACCGGCUAACUACGUGCCAGCAGCCGCGGUAAUACGUAGGGUGCAAGCGUUAAUCGGAAUUACUGGGCGUAAAGCGUGCGCAGGCGGUUCGGAAAGAAAGAUGUGAAAUCCCAGAGCUCAACUUUGGAACUGCAUUUUUAACUACCGGGCUAGAGUGUCUCAGAGGGAGGUGGAAUUCCGCGUGUAGCAGUGAAAUGCGUAGAUAUGCGGAGGAACACCGAUGGCGAAGGCAGCCUCCUGGGAUAACACUGACGCUCAUGCACGAAAGCGUGGGGAGCAAACAGG
rnacentral:rRNA from 1 species